GGCAGUAUUUCAUGUAUAUGAAGUCAAACAGUGUGCCACUUUGUGGAGAAAACCAUAACCAUACCAAGCACAGAAUGAAAAUAACUGAAUGCUGAACUUAUUAUUCAUGGACAAAAAAAGGUUGUCAUUCACAUGCAUCUCGUCCGGGUGGAGGCCAGCAACUUGAAAGGUGCACAAUGGGUGGCUCCCAGGGAAAGGAGCCUGCAGUGUCUGGCACCGAACAUGCUUGGCAUCGAAUGCUUCUUAAGCAGAUGAAGACAAUAGAAUAUUCUUUUUUUUUUUUUUUAUUCUUUAGUUACUGAAUCGGUGUGUCUAGGCAUACUCUUCGGGAAGGCAGGGAACUGAGCCUGGGGGUUCAGCAAGACUGAACACUUGGAUUAGAGAAAUGGCCUACCACACAUGGUAACUCUUGGUCCAAUCUUCUCUUGCCCACUUUGGGUCUUUAGCCUACAUAGGCUGGCUACCCUAGUCAUCUCUAUGGCUGAAUUCAGAGAUUAGAAAAGAAGAUAAUGCAA
rnacentral:lncRNA from 1 species